rnacentral:rRNA from 1 species
GACGAACGCUGGCGGCGUGCUUAAUACAUGCAAGUCGAACGGAAAUUCCCUGCUCUUGUCUUGUUCCCGAGUGGCGAACGGGGUAGUAACACGGUGGUAACCUCGCCUGUACUUUGGGAUAACUUCAGGGAUCACGCGCGAAUACAGGUUAUGAUCUCCUGUAGCAUCGUUUGGGGUGGAAAGGUUCGGCGGUUGGGGCUGGUCUCGCGGCUUAUGAGCUUGUUGGUGGGGUAGUGGCUUACGAAGGCUUUGACGGGUAGCCGGACUGAGAGGGUGACCCGCCACAUUGGGCCUGAGGUACGGCCCAGACUGCUACGGGAGGCAGCAGUGGGAAAUAUUGCAGACUGGGCGGAAGCAUGAUGCAGCAACGUCGCAUGCGGGAUGACGGCUUUCGGGUUGUAAACAGCAUUCGCCUGUGACGAAGAGUGCGUGACGGUAAUGGGUAAAGAAGCAACGGCUAACUACGUG